GCGGGAGUUGUCUAGUGGUUAUGAUAUCUGCUUUACAUUUGUGUAUUGCGCAGAAGGUCCCCGGUUCGAUCCCGGGCUUCCGUA